GGGAGGCAGCAGUGAGGAAUCUUGCGCAAUGGGGGCAAGCCUGACGCAGCGACGUCGCGUGGAGGAAGACGGCCUUCGGGUUGUAAACUCCUUUUAGUGGGGACGAGCAAGGACGGUACCCACUGAAUAAGCCCCGGCUAACUCCGUGCCAGCAGCCGCGGUAAUACGGAGGGGGCGAGCGUUGUCCGAAUUUAUUGGGCGUAAAGCGCGUGUAGGCGGACUUUUAAGCCUGAGGUGAAAGGUUGGGGCUCAACCCCAUACAGUGCCUUGGGGACUGAUCGUCUGGAGGCAGGCAGAGGAGUGUGGAAUUCCUGGUGUAGCGGUGGAAUGCGUAGAGAUCAGGAAGAACACCCAUGGCGAAGGCAGCACUCUGGGCCUGUACUGACGCUGAGACGCGAAAGCGCGGGGAGCGAACAGGAUUAGAUACCCGUGUAGUCU
rnacentral:rRNA from 1 species